UUACAGGUCUGGCAAUUGGAAUGAGAACAAUUUAAAUCCCUUAUCGAGUAUCAAUUGGAGGGCAAGUCUGGUGCCAGCAGCCGCGGUAAUUCCAGCUCCAAUAGCGUAUAUUAAUGUUGUUGCAGUUAAAAAGCUCGUAGUUGAAUUUCUGGACUUAAUUUCUGGUCCGAGGCCUUGUGUCUUGUGUACUUUGAUUUUAUUAAGUCCAUCUUAGUAGUGAAUGUUACUGGCAUUAAGUUAUCGGUAGCAGGAGCUGCUUCAUUUACUGUGAAUAAAAUAGAGUGUUCAAAGCAGGCAUUACGCCUUGAAUACUUCAGCAUGGAAUAAAAAAAUAGGACUUUGGUGCUAUUUUAUUGGUUUGCACACCAAGUAAUGAUUAAUAGGGAUAGUUGGGGGUAUUCAUAUUUGAUUGUCAGAGGUGAAAUUCUUGGAUUUAUGAAAGAUGAACUACUGCGAAAGCAUUUACCAAGGAUGUUUUCAUUAAUCAAGAACGAAAGUUAGGGGAUCGAAGAGGAUUAGAUACCCUCGUAGUCUUAACCAUAAACUAUGCCGACUCGGGA
rnacentral:rRNA from 1 species